rnacentral:tRNA from 1 species
UGGAAGGGUGGCCGAGCGGCUGAAGGCGGCGGUUUGCUAAACCGUUAUACGAUUGAAAAGUCGUAUCGAGGGUUCGAAUCCCUCUCCUUCCGU